UACGUAGGGUGCGAGCGUUGUCCGGAAUUAUUGGGCGUAAAGGGCUCGUAGGCGGUUUGUCGCGUCGGGAGUGAAAACCCAGGGCUUAACCCUGGGCUGGCUUCCGAUACGGGCAGACUAGAGGUAUGCAGGGGAGAACGAAUUCCUGGUGUAGCGGUGGAAAUGCGCAGAUAUCAGGAGGAACACCGGUGGCGAAGGCGGUUCUCUGGGCAUUACCUGACGCUGAGGAGCGAAAGUGUGGGGAGCGAACGG
rnacentral:rRNA from 1 species